GCCUACACACUGGCUGCCGGCAGCUCGUGGCGCGCUCUAGUCAGUCAGUUAGGGACCCCAACCUCUCUCACAAGCAGUGCCCUCGCGGACCCAGGGGUCUGGCAGCGCUAGGGCUUUCAUCGUUUCUUCAUUUAAACCAAUGGGAAACGGACACUUGCAACCGGUACCAGCAAAUUGUGUUUCCCGCCGAGCGCCGGGAGCUUCGCCUUUUCCCAGAAUGCCUUGCUUCGUCAUAGAAACUUAGGACCCCGAGCCCUAGCAACCCUCAAUAGGGGCUGCCUUCGGCGGUGCCGGCAGAAGAAAGGGACAGGUGAAAAAUAAUCCCCACUCUCUCGGAUUUUCAGUGUGCUAAAUCACAGCAUAGUUUCAAUAGAAAUAGAGAAGAAAAUGAUUAAUUGGGCCAUUGUCUCGGAAUCCCAGGGUCUAGAUACCAGGACGGCGGACCGGCAGGCGCGAGCAAGUUCGCCCGGACGAAAAUUUUAGCGGCCUGUACCGGUAGUUUGUGAACAUUUUAUUGCUCUGUCCCUUCUUUUUUGGGUCUUGCAUGUUUUUCUAAACGCCAAAUUCGGGAGAAUUGGGUCACCAAAAGCUCUGGGUUCCUGUCAGUGGAGCGAAGCCUGAACCCUGGCGUUGUGACCACCGCUUCCUUAGAGACACGCUUGCCCUUCCUGGAGCGUGAGGAAAAGCACUCCCAGCCCCUACGCCCUCAGGGAGGAACCCAACCCAGCCCAACCCAGGCAGAGUCCUCGGGUCCUCUCGCUUUAAACCUGACUUUCGGGACUAUAUGAUCAUUGUAUUUGCUCCGAUCUGAGACCACACUCGCGCUUCUGGCCACCUUUCCCCGGAUGCCUUUCUUGACUGCGUGUUAGGGAUCAUUAAGUGUUAAGACAAAUUUAAUGCCAAAAAAUGUCGGUGGCAUCUCAGCGUCUUGCCUUUCCUCUAGAAAAUGAACUUCAGAAGAAAAAAUUUAUUCGCUCGUCAUAUUCCCUGGUACGAAAUCAGUGGACAAACUUCUUCAGUACGCUUUUGAAUAUGUUGUUUUGUGUUCACAGAAUUAAGGCUCUGGUUUUUAAAGUAAUGGCAAUGAGAACUAUGGGUAAAGGGUUCAAAACAAUAUUAGGAACAAAUUCUUAAACGACCCUUGCUUGUAUCCGGUGCAGGCCACAAAGAUCUUGCUGAGGGGAGAGCCUGGCCCUGCACUUCUUUUUAAGCACUGACAGUCAUCAAAAACAAGGACUCACAGCAUACCAAGAUACUUACUUCCGAAGAACAUGAAGAGCACAAAGAGGACUGGAUAGAAAUAGCUCAAGCAAACAGCCAGGGCAUAUUCAUGAACUACAGCAGAUAAAGUGAAGACAGCUAACAUGGCAGCAGCUUUGAAUCUCUUUGAAAAAAA